GAUGAAGAACGCAGCGAAAUGCGAUAAGUAAUGUGAAUUGCAGAAUUCAGUGAAUCAUCGAAUCUUUGAACGCAUCUUGCGCUCCUUGGUAUUCCGAGGAGCAUGCCUGUUUGAGUGUCAUUAAAUUCUCAACUACACUGAUUUUGAAUUGGUGUGGCUUGGAUUUGGGGGGAAAAUUGUUGUGGGCUUUUUGUAUAGUCUGCUCCCCUGAAAUUGAUUAGCGGUACCUUUGUGGAACUGUCUACAGGUGUGAUAAUUAUCUACAUCUUAGACAUCUGCUGGAAUGCUGCUUUCUAAACCUUACUUGUAUUGACAAUCUUGACCUCAAAUCAGGUAGGACUACCCGCUGAACUUAAGCAUAUCAAUAAGCGGAGGA
rnacentral:misc_RNA from 1 species